rnacentral:rRNA from 1 species
CUACGGGAUGCACCAGUGAGGGAUUUUGCGCAAUGGGGGGAACCCUGACGCAGCAACGCCGCGUGAGUGAAGAAGGCCCUUGGGUCGUAAAGCUCUGUCAACAGGGAAGAAGUUAUGGAUUUUUAAUAGAGAUUUGUAUUGACGGUACCUGUGAAGGAAGCACCGGCUAACUCCGUGCCAGCAGCCGCGGUAAUACGGGGGGUGCAAGCGUUAUUCGGAAUUAUUGGGCGUAAAGGGCGCGCAGACGGCCUUGUCAGUCAGAUGUGAAAGGCCAGGGCUCAACCCUGGAAGUGCAUUUGAAACAGCAAGGCUUGAGUACGGUAGAGGAAAGGGGAAUUCCUGGUGUAGAGGUGAAAUUCGUAGAUAUCAGGAGGAACACCGGUGGCGAAGGCGCCUUUCUGGACCUGUACUGACGCUGAGGCGCGAAGGCGUGGGUAGCGAACAGGAUUAGAUACCCGGGUAGUC